UGUAUCUGAAGUCUGACGAGGAUGAGAACCUCCGGGGGCAAGAGGUUCGACCCGAGCGAAGCGAGAGAACGUUGCGUCAGCAACGGCCCGCAGGGCGAGCCACGCAGUGGCGAGUCAUCCUCUAUCACCGGCA
rnacentral:sRNA from 2 species